ensembl:lncRNA
GCAGCAUUGCAACCACUUGGGCAGGAAAGAAGCAAACAGCAACCACUACUUAAGCAAGGCAGACAACAUCAAAGAGGCAUUCCACCAGGGGCUUUCAUAGCAGCCAGUAAAUUAUGCACGUACAAAGCAAUAAAGGAGCUAUAAUCAUGCCUCACUAUUGCAUGGGCACUUUUCAUCCUGCAGGACAGCAAAGUACUUUAAAGGCUGCAGAUCUGCCCGUUGGACGUGGUGUUGGUUCUUUGUUUUUUUCAGUGUUUGGAUCACGAAGGUAUGAUGCUACAGAACCUGUUGGCUCCCCAGGCAGCUCGCAGUCUACGUGUGAAGCCUAAGAAGUCAAGAAGUGCUGAGCGAGGAGUUAUGCAGCACUUGUAAUGGUGUGAAAGGAAGAGCUAGCAGGCAACUGCUGUCCUCAGCCUCGCUCUCUGCCAAAGCAUUGCUUUCCUCAACAAUGACACACGACUUGUCUUUUGGAAAUACUUGUGCAUCCACAAGGUUUACCAAACCAAGCAGGAACUACACAUGCUCGAUUGCAUGGCAGAAGCUCUUAAGAGCGCCCAGAAGCUGCCAGCAUCCAAACUGCAAUAUGGUUAUAUUAUGAAUUGUGAGACCACGAAAGCAAAGGAAGGCUAGCAGGAGAGAGGCUUCGCUACCUCUGUUUUAAUUUCAUCUCGGUAUCCCUGGAAGGACAUCUACCUGUGUCACCCUCCAGACCGACCCAUGCAGGUGUUGGCUGUGUCACCUUCUUGCAGGAGAUCCAAUGAUGCAAUUACUCCCACCUGCAGAGUUCUUUUUGCCAACUUUGCCAAGGCUGCACACUACAGACAGUCUGGAAAGGAGCAGAAAUGUGUAAAGUUGGCCUCUACUUUUCCUUUUCUGGCUUCAGAAGAAAAUUGGCUUGAUUACCUCUACAACGUGUUAUGCAACGUAGAUCAAGACUCUGUUAUUUCUGCCCAGCAAUUCUCAUAAGCAGAGCUACUUUGCAACGUGAGAUGAGGAAGCAAAAACUGGAAGCUUAAUAGAAAGCAACAGACACAGACAAGCAAACCUCAGCAUCUAAUGGUGUUUGAAGAGCUUCUCUCGUCUGUUUGGCCCAUGGGCAUUGUGGGCUGUGUCAGUCAGUGUCUGUGGCACCCAUUGCAAGUGAAGAAAGCUGCAAUUGCUCAUAUUUGACAACUCAGUGCUACAAAGCCCUGUGAAGUUCAAAGCCAUCUACCUGGUGUUUCUUUCUAACAGGCGUGCAGCUCUGAUGGAGAACGUUGGGAAUUCUUCAUCUUUUCUUUCCCACACACCCCAAUCUCAUUCUCUCCCUCUCUUUCUGGCUUUCCUUUCACCCGGAUAUCACACAGAGAGAAUUCAGGUGAGCAGGACUGAGAUGAGACAGAUCUCUUCAGGACUGAGGUGCCUCAGUGCAAUGCAUUCCACACCAAAGAACACUAUGGCUUGGGCAGGACCACUCCAAACACAGCCCAGACUGUGCAGACAGCAAACACAGAGUCCUAUGAGAGCUCCUUUCAUAGUGCUGCAUUAUUAUAGAGACAUGUGUCUGAAGAUGCCACAGUUAUAACAGAGAAUGUUGAUUUUGUCUGUAACCCAGCUGGCUGGCUUGCUGCAUUUCAAACCUCUUCAAGUAAAUAAAUGAGAGGACUCCACUUUC